AUACGGAGGGUCCGAGCGUUAAUCGGAAUUACUGGGCGUAAAGCGCGCGUAGGCGGAUAUUUAAGUCAGAUGUGAAAUCCCUGGGCUCAACCUAGGAACUGCAUUUGAAACUGGAUAUCUAGAGUAUGGUAGAGGUGAGUGGAAUUUCAGGUGUAGCGGUGAAAUGCGUAGAGAUCUGAAGGAACAUCAGUGGCGAAGGCGACUCACUUGGCCAUUGCUGACGCUGAGGUGCGAAAGCGUGGGUAGCAAACAGGAUUAGAAACCCCAGUAGUCC
rnacentral:rRNA from 1 species